rnacentral:misc_RNA from 1 species
CAGAGUUGCAAAACUCCCUAAACCAUUAUAAACGUUACCUUAUACCGUUGCUUCGGCAGGCGGACCGGGUCCUACCCGGCGCCCCUCGGCCCCUCGCGGGGCGCCCGCCGGAGGUAAACCAAACUAUUACAUUGUAUAGCCUCUCUAAGUCUUCUAUACUAAAUAAGUCA